CUACGGGUGGCUCCAGUCACGAAUCUUCCACAAUGGCCGAAAGGCUGAUGGAGCAAUGCCGCGUGUAUGAAGACGCCCUUCGGGGUGUAAAAUACUUUUGUGAGGGACGAAUCAAUGACGGUACCUCACGAAUAAGGGGCUGCUAACCUCGUGCCAGCAGCAGCGGUAAUACAAGGGCCCCGAGCGUUAUCCGGAUUUAUUGGGUGUAAAGCGUCUGCAGGUGGUUUGUCACAUCUCCUGUUAAAUCUUGAGGCCUAACCUCGAGACUGCGGGAGAGAUGGACAGACUAGAGGCCGGAAGAGGUAAGUGGAAUUGCUGGUGUAGGGGUUAAAUCCGUUAAUAUCAGCAGGAACACCGAAUGCGAAAGCAGCUUACUGGAACGAGCCUGACACUCAGAGACGAAAGCGUGGGUAGCGAAUGGGAUUAGAUACCCCGGUAGUC
rnacentral:rRNA from 1 species